rnacentral:rRNA from 2 species
UGGCUCAGGAUGAACGCUGGCGGCGUGCUAAUACAUGCAAGUCGAGCGAAUGGAUUGAGAGCUUGCUCUCAAGAAGUUAGCUGGCGGACGGGUGAGUAACACGUGGGGUAACCUGCCCAUAAGACUGGGAUAACUCCGGGAAACCGGGGCUAAUACCGGAUAACAUUUUGAACCGCAUGGUUCGAAAUUGAAAGGCGGCUUCGGCUGUCACUUAUGGAUGGACCCGCGUCGCAUUAGCUAGUUGGUGAGGUAACGGCUCACCAAGGCAACGAUGCGUAGCCGACCUGAGAGGGUGAUCGGCCACACUGGGACUGAGACACGGCCCAGACUCCUACGGGAGGCAGCAGUAGGGAAUCUUCCGCAAUGGACGAAAGUCUGACGGAGCAACGCCGCGUGAGUGAUGAAGGCUUUCGGGUCGUAAAACUCUGUUGUUAGGGAAGAACAAGUGCUAGUUGAAUAAGCUGGCACCUUGACGGUACCUAACCAGAAAGCCACGGCUAACUACGUGCCAGCAGCCGCGGUAAUACGUAGGUGGCAAGCGUUAUCCGGAAUUAUUGGGCGUAAAGCGCGCGCAGGUGGUUUCUUAAGUCUGAUGUGAAAGCCCACGGCUCAACCGUGGAGGGUCAUUGGAAACUGGGAGACUUGAGUGCAGAAGAGGAAAGUGGAAUUCCAUGUGUAGCGGUGAAAUGCGUAGAGAUAUGGAGGAACACCAGUGGCGAAGGCGACUUUCUGGUCUGUAACUGACACUGAGGCGCGAAAGCGUGGGGAGCAAACAGGAUUUUAGAU